ensembl:lncRNA
CCGGGUAGCCACGCAUCCUCAACGCGCAUGCUUUACCCGACGCGGACAGUGCACCAUGGGUGACUCCCAGGACAGUGACGAAGACCUUCUCUCACUCCCCGAUCCCGUGGUGUCCCCUCCUCGCACUCAAUGGUCAGUGCAGCUGUCCACCCUCCCACCCAAACUCCUGCACAGCCUAAUGUCCUUCCAGAAGGAAGGUGUGGAAUUCGCCUUGUCAAGGAAUGGAAGAUGUAUGAUCGCAGAUGAGGUAAGCCCAAAGAUAAUCCCUCCUUCCCGCCCCCCCGCAUCUAUACCUCCACCUCACCCAAAAUAAUUAAAUACAACAAUUUCAUGUCGAAACCAAACCUCGUCC